rnacentral:rRNA from 1 species
UACGUGGGGGGCGAGCGUUGUUCGGAAUUAUUGGGCGUAAAGGCUGCGUAGGCGGUUUGGUAAGUCUUAUGUGAAAUCUAUGGGCUCAACUCAUAGACUGCAUGAGAAACUGCCGGGCUUGAGUAUGGUAGAGGUGAGUGGAAUUCCUGGUGUAGCGGUGAAAUGCGUAGAUAUCAGGAGGAACACCUGUGGCGAAAGCGGCUCACUGGACCAUAACUGACGCUGAGGCACGAAAGCGAGGGGAGCAAACAGG